CCUACGGGGGGCUGCAGUGAGGAAUAUUGGUCAAUGGGCGGAAGCCUGAACCAGCCAAGUAGCGUGCAGGAUGACGGCCCUACGGGUUGUAAACUGCUUUUAUACGGGAAUAACGCGCCUUACGUUUAGGGCUUUGCAUGUACCGUAUGAAUAAGGACCGGCUAAUUCCGUGCCAGCAGCCGCGGUAAUACGGAAGGUCCGGGCGUUAUCCGGAUUUAUUGGGUGUAAAGGGAGCGUAGGCCGCAUGUCAUGCGUGCUGUGAAAUGUCCGGGCUCAACCUGGGCCUUGCAGUGCAAACUGGCGUGCUUGAGUACGGGGAAGGCAGGCGGAAUUCGGCGUGUAGCGGUGAAAUGCUUAGAUAUGACGAAGAACCCCGAUUGCGAAGGCAGCUUGCUGGAGCGGAACUGACGCUGAUGCUCGAAAGCGCGGGUAUCGAACAGGAUUAGAUACCCUAGUAGUC
rnacentral:rRNA from 1 species